GAUGAACGCUGGCGGCGCGCCUAACACAUGCAAGUCGAACGAUUAAAGCACCUUCGGGUGUGUAUAAAGUGGCGAACGGCUGAGUAACACGUGGGCAACCUGCCCCUCUCAUUGGGAUAGCCACGGGAAACCGUGGAUAAUACCGAAUACUUCGGGACUUCCGCAUGGAAGACUCGAGAAAGCUCCGGCGGCGAGGGAUGGGCCCGCGGCCUGUUAGCUUGUUGGUGGGGUAAUGGCCUACCAAGGCAAUGAUGGGUAGCUGGGUUGAGAGACCGACCAGCCAGAUUGGGACUGAGACACGGCCCAGACUCCUACGGGAGGCAGCAGUGGGGAAUCUUGCACAAUGGGCGAAAGCCUGAUGCAGCGACGCCGCGUGCGGGAUGAAGGCCUUCGGGUUGUAAACCGCUUUCAGCAGGGACGAGGCGAAAGUGACGGUACCUGCAGAAGAAGCCCCGGCUAACUACGUG
rnacentral:rRNA from 1 species